rnacentral:lncRNA from 1 species
UAUCCACUUGAACAUUUCGAAGAAGUUUCAAAUAUUUUCUUACACUUGUCCGUUUGACAAAAUUAUAAUGCACACAACAUAAUUUUAUUAAGGGAGCUACCAUUUGAUUUUAGGGGGGGGGGGGGGGGGCUAGGAUGAAAUUUGAAAAAAAUAGGCAGGACAGGAGUUUUGAGUUAAAAAGAAGGCAGGAUGAGAAACUUGUUAAAAAAAAAGGCAGGAUGACAAUUUGUGUAAAAAAAGUCAGGAUAAACUAGUAAAAAAAAGGCAGGACCGAAUAGAGUAAAAAAUAAAAAGACAGACAGAGAUUACAACUAAAAAAAAAGCAGGACAAUAUUUUUCAUCCUAAGACCCCC